rnacentral:rRNA from 1 species
GACGAACGCUGGCGGCGUGCCUAAUACAUGCAAGUAGAACGCAGUUGCGAACGGGUGAGUAACGCGUAGGUAACUGCCUGGUAGCGGGGGAUAACUAUUGGAAACGAUAGCUAAUACCGCAUACUACCAGCUGGACCUGCGUUGUAUUAGCUAGUUGGUGAGGCAACGGCUCACCAAGGAAACGAUACAUAGCCGACCUGAGAAGGUGAUCGGCCACACUGGGGCUGAGGCACGGCCCAGACUCCGACGGGAUGCAGCAGUAGGGAAUCUUCGGCAAAGGGGGGAACCCUGGCCAGGCAACGCCGCGUGGGUGAAGAAGGUUUUCGGAACGUAAAACUCUGUUGUUAAGGAAGCGGUACUUAACCAGAAAGGGACGGCUAACUACGUGCCAGCAGCCGCGGUAAUAC